CCUACGGGAGGCAGCAGGGAGGAAUAUUGGUCAAUGGACGAGAGUCUGAACCAGCCAAGUAGCGUGAAGGAUGACUGCCCUAUGGGUUGUAAACUUCUUUUAUAUGGGAAUAAAAUGUUCCACGUGUGGGAUUUUGUAUGUACCAUAUGAAUAAGGAUCGGCUAACUCCGUGCCAGCAGCCGCGGUAAUACGGAGGAUCCGAGCGUUAUCCGGAUUUAUUGGGUUUAAAGGGAGCGUAGGUGGUUUGUUAAGUCAGUUGUGAAAGUUUGCGGCUCAACCGUAAAAUUGCAGUUGAAACUGGCAGUCUUGAGUACGGUAGAGGUGGGCGGAAUUCGUGGUGUAGCGGUGAAAUGCUUAGAUAUCACGAAGAACUCCGAUUGCGAAGGCAGUUCACUGGACUGCAACUGACACUGAGGCUCGAAAGUGUGGGUAUCAAACAGGAUUAGAUACCCCUGUAGUC
rnacentral:rRNA from 1 species